UUCCCUUCUCUUCCGCUCAAUCUUCCGAUUCUUCCCCGAUCCCUUCACCUUCCUCAACCCGACACGAUACCGAUCCCCUUCUUCUUCCUCUUCCCCACUCUCCGCCGACUCGCCCCUCGCUCCUUCUCCAUCAUGAGCACCAUCUUCUUCCUCGACGCGUCGCCGGCAUCGAUUGACAGCUGGCCUCGUGCCCUAGCCGACCCCGAUUCUUCUUCUUCCCUCCUUAUCCUCUCCCUCUCACGGGGUGGAGCGCCCUCUCCUCUCCCGAUCUCACCUAUUCUGUGCCCUAGCUUCGAUCUAUCACCCCUUUCUCGAUCAUCGAGGGUCUUCUAGCCACUGCCCACUUCGAUAGUCGGAUUGUCGCACCCUUAAAUCAAUGUCGGCCACGAGUUGCUGGGUUGCUCCUUCCCUACAUCUCCUCUCGAUCCCGACAUCGUUGCCGCGCCAGCUCAAAUCCUCCAUCGCUGUGCCCUAGUUCCUGAUGCCGCCUUUCUUCUCCACCGUGCACGCCACUUGGAUCUCUCCAAAGGCUAUCGAAUUAUCCCAGUGUACUGCCAUGCCAAGAGCAAGAAGUCGGAGGUCUCCUUUGUGCAUCACCUCUCCCCAACCAUCAUAACUCACUGACAGAGAAGGAGAGCAAGCGGUAUUUGGGUUUAAGUCAGCAUUGUCCACCGACAAUCCACAGCUCCGGUCAUCCUGAUCCGGACUUUGAUCCGAGGUAAGCGCCUCAACGUGGGAUUUGUUCCGAUAUGAUCUUCGUUUUGAGGCGGGUACCUUUGACUUAUCUCUUUAGAUAUUGUCAUUCUGAUAUGUUUAACAGGUUAUAGCUAGUAGCAAUGAUCAUGUUUAUAUUUUCCUUGAUAUGUCACUAAUAGAUACCUGUAGCUUAUUUUUUUAUUGUUGUCUGAUAUGCAUUCAUGUUUAUCUCUUGAUUAUUGUCAUGUGUGUUUUAUUUCCUAGAGGUAGUGACAUACUAUGCUUUACUAUGUUUAGGACUAGCUUUCUAGAUUUUUAUUAUCUGGCAUGUGUAUCUAGCUUUGUGAUACUUAGAUCAUUAUUAUAGGAUUCCUUUUCCUUUAUGGUACAUAUUGUUUAGAAAUGGUUAUGAUCAUGAUUUACAUGCUUAGUGUCAUGCACCAUCUUACAUGAUUGCAUGUUGUGCGAUUGUCGGCUCCAUUAUUGUUGAGCUCAUCGCCAGUUACAUGAUCUGCACACAUAACCACUCAUGGAUUAAUGACACAUCAGUCAGGGUGUGUGCAGUUACUCUGUCAGGCUCCGUUGGCCCGCUCAUGGGUAGUGUGAUGCAGUGUGAUAGCAGGCAGGGAUCCCUCAUCUUGACUAUGAUACAUGGAGAUGAGAGCAUUGCGCUCCCCCACUCUGUUUGGGGUAGGAGGAUAGUGUUGGUGCGGUUAGCACUAACAGUCUAACUCAGGUUUUGAUGAAUGACAAAUUAGGUUAAGUUA